rnacentral:rRNA from 2 species
UUUGAAAUCUGGUACUUUCAGUGCCCGAGUUGUAAUUUGUAGAAUUUGUCUUUGAUUAGGUCCUUGUCUAUGUUCCUUGGAACAGGACGUCAUAGAGGGUGAGAAUCCCGUUUGGCGAGGAUACCUUUUCUCUGUAAGACUUUUUCGAAGAGUCGAGUUGUUUGGGAAUGCAGCUCAAAGUGGGUGGUAAAUUCCAUCUAAAGCUAAAUAUUGGCGAGAGACCGAUAGCGAACAAGUACAGUGAUGGAAAGAUGAAAAGAACUUUGAAAAGAGAGUGAAAAAGUACGUGAAAUUGUUGAAAGGGAAGGGCAUUUGAUCAGACAUGGUGUUUUUUUAAUGUGCAAGUCUCUCGUGGACAUGUGCCUCUGGAAAUUAACACUGGGCCAACAUCAGUUCUGGCGGCAGGAUAAAUCAUUAAGAAUGUAGCUACCUCGGUAGUGUUAUAGCUUUUUGGAAUACUGCCAGCUGGGAUUGAGGACUGCGCUUCGGCAAGGAUGUUGGCAUAAUGGUUAAAUGCCGCCCGUCUUG